AAUCAUCAUGUGCGUGCUUAGGGACUGACACCAGAAUGUGGGUUCCAUCUGUAGCUCCUAUGCACCUAUCAAAAUACGGUGAGAAUUGAUGCAACCUAGGAUGCACACAUCUGAACAAUGGAUCCAUUGGCCUAAUAAUAGUACGUGCAAAAGAUACCACGGCAUCUAACACUUCACCAAACUUCCGACUCACGGUGUCCAGUGACCUACAGAAUCUAUCUGACAUCUGUCUCUGGCAUUGUCUUGUGCCACAUGCCCAUAGGAACAUCCCUAAGGUCUCAACUGAAUCACAUUGUCGUGUGGAUUUUAGCCCAUGGUUGGACACUAAGAUUGAAUGCAACAACUAGAAUGCAGAUGGAUGGAGACGGAAAUUUUUGUAGCACUUCUUACUGUCAGCAAG
rnacentral:lncRNA from 1 species